rnacentral:lncRNA from 1 species
AUAAUAAUAAUAAUAAUAAUAUAAUAUAUCACUUAUACAGAAGGCAAGGGUGAGGUGCUUACCUCAUGAAGAAGAAUGGGUUUUAGAAGGAGAAGGAGAAGGAGAAGGAGUAGUGAGGUGCAGAGGUAGACUUCCUUUUCUUUCGGGUAAUCAUCUUCUUGGCUCUUAUUUUCUAACUCCAUAUCUCUGAAGAUACAUCACAGUAUCAUUCCAUAUCUCUUAACCUCUUUUCUGUUUUCACUUUCCUAGGCUGCACUUCUCUUUCACUUUCUGUCUUAUUAAUUCUUUAGAAACAGAUACAUAGGUACCCCCCAUAGAGAUCAAUCCCUACCUACGUACCCACAUCUUCUUCCCUCUCUUCUUUUUC